AGAGUUUGAUCCUGGCUCAGGACGAACGCUGGCGGCGUGCGUAAUACAUGCAAGUCGAGCGGUCGACGGCUCUUCGGAGGCGUCGGCAGCGGCGGACGGGUGAGGAACACGUGAGUAACCGGGCGUCCGGUGGGGGAUAUCGGGCCGAAAGGCGCGGCAAUCCCGCAUGCGCCCCGGGCGGCGCCAGCCGCCGGGGGGAAAGGCCUUCGGGUCGCCGGACGGGGGGCUCGCGGCCCAUUAGCUAGUUGGGGGGGUAACGGCCUCCCAAGGCGACGAUGGGUAGCCGGCCUGAGAGGGUGAUCGGCCACACUGGGACUGAGACACGGCCCAGACUCCUACGGGAGGCAGCAGUAGGGAAUCUUCCACAAUGGGCGCAAGCCUGAUGGAGCAACGCCGCGUGAGUGAAGACGGCCUUCGGGUUGUAAAGCUCUGUCUGUCGGGACGAGGACCGCGCCGGAGGGCGCGGGGGGACGGUACCGGCGGAGGAAGCCCCUGCAAACUACGUGCCAGCAGCCGCGGUAAGACGUAGGGGGCAAGCGUUGUCCGGAAUUACUGGGCGUAAAGGGCGUGUAGGCGGUUGCGCACGUAGCGGUUUUCAGCCGUCGGCUCACCCGACGGAGGGCGGCUAAACGGCGCAGCUCGAGGGCAGGAGAGGUGCAUGGAAUUCCUGGUGGAGCGGUGAAAUGCGUAGAGAUCAGGAAGAACACCGGUGGCGAAGGCGGUGCACUGGCCUGGCCCUGACGCUGAGGCGCGACAGCGUGGGGAGCGAACGGGAUUAGAUACCCCGGUAGUCCACGCCGUAAACGAUGGAUACGAGGUGUCGCGGGGGUCCACCUCGCGGUGCCGGAGCUAACGCACUCAGUAUCCCGCCUGGGGAGUACGGCCGCAAGGUUGAAACUCAAAGGAAUUGACGGGGGCCCGCACAAGCAGUGGAG
rnacentral:rRNA from 1 species